rnacentral:lncRNA from 1 species
CCAGUGUGUGUUUUUUUGUGGGUAGCUAAGUGGUUCAAUCGUGAAAACCCUUUCUUACAAACAUCGCAUUCAUAAGGUUUGUCACUAGUGUGUGUUCUUUUAUGUCGAGCUAAACCGCUGGGAUCUGAAAAUCUUUUUUUGCAAACAUCACAUUCAUAAGGUUUGUCUCCAGUGUGAGUUCUUUUAUGAACCACUAAGCGGCUCAACUGUGAAAAUCUUUUGUUGCAAACAUCACAAUCGUAA